GAUGACAACAUUUACUCCAUCACGAGAGGCAUAAUGACCAGUCCAAUAUCAUGACGAGAAGACUCAAUAGUUGAUCCAAUAGUACAACAAAUACGUUUUCUUAUCUCCUCUUAUCAUUAUUGUUAUAGUUGUCGCUGCCUCGAAACGACCAGCAACCACCAUGCCAUCACAAAUCCACCUCCUACAUAGACCUGCUCCGAAACCCGCCAACAGUCAUGCUUCCGACGUCGC
rnacentral:lncRNA from 1 species